UAUUUAAUACAUUUUAGAAUAAGGCUGUAAUGUAACAAAAUGUGGAAAAAGUCAAAGGGUCUGAACACUUUUCAAAUGCACUGUACAUAGCACUGAUAAAAAAUGUAAAAAAUCUGUACUGGCAUUAUGAAAUUAUGAGUUACAGGAAGGGAGGACACCACUUUAUCCUUGUAAGAUUGCCAAGAGAUUUAACUGGUGUCACACAUAUGCUGAGUGACUUUAUUUUAUUUCUUCAUUUUAUUCAGUACACUGUGUGAUAGCAAAACAACUGCUCAACUAUUAAACAUAUUUAUUGUCAUAUAUUUUGCCAAUAUAGCCCCCCCUAUUUGUACAAUGAUAUACUGUAUAUGAAAACAAGGAAUAGAAGGACACAAACACACUGUAAAUAAAGAUUGAUUGUAAAUAAUCCACUUAACUUCCCAGGUAUAUUUAACAUGUUAUAAUGUAAACAGUUAUUUGUGCAAAGCCAUUUCAACUCUUAUGGAGGAUUAUCUCCGCUCUGUGUUUGUUGGUUGAGUAUUAUUCUCUAGGUAGCUCUGAACUGCUUGUAACUCUAUCACUCCACUCUGAACUGACAUGGACUUUGUGCUAUCAGAGCACUCCAGCACAUACUCAUCACUGGUUCUUCUUCUGCAUUUCCCCCCACACAUCGUAGCAAAGCCCUUCCAAACCCUCUUGUUGACAAAGGCAUACACAAUGGGAUUUACAAAACCAUGGCUAUAGGCAAUGACCUCUGUAACCUGAAUGGCGAAAUCCAGAUGUAGGCUUGUGGCACAAUUAGAAAUCACAUGCAAGUGUUGCAAGGAGUGUAAAAAGGACACAGUGUUGUACGGGAACCAUAACACAAAAAAUACCACAACUACUAUCAUGACCAAUUUCAGACUCUUUCGUCUCGGUCCCACUUUAACCUUCGCUACAGCACAGCAGACUCGCAGGUAGCAGAAGAGCAUGAUCAGAAAAGGUGUGAGAAACCCAAAGACGUUCAGCUGAAACUUCAUGAGAAUCUUCCACAGAGGCAAGUGAUUUUCCUCUCCAAAAGGGUACAUGCAAAUCUUCUGGCCGUGAAACUCUUGUUCCUGAACGAAGGUCCAAUGUGGAGCUGUUCACAGCAGUUUAGACGGUACAAUGAUUCUCUACACUAUACUUGCUUGUUUUGUCACAUAAACUGAAAUUGGACAAACUAUUGGAAUUUUUGCGAUUUCUGCAUAGUAAAUCUUUAUGUAUUGUAUUUUACCAAUGAAAAAUAUGUGUUGCACCUUACUAUUGUCAAAUAGCCUUUACUUAUGAGUGCAAUAAAGCAACCCCUUAAUAGGUGGUAGUGACCUGUGACCUGAAAAUAGGAGAGGCUGCCUAAAUCUACCUAAAUCAGGAUCUCAAAAGAGAUCCUUAUGUGAUUUUUGUUUUCUGAUAGAAGCUUAAUAAAUUGAUAUUCUGUAAUAAAAUGGUCUCACAUAGCUAAUGGCUGAAUUGUUUAUACAGAGUAAGUAAUUGGGCAGUAGGCCUAUAAUCAUAACUUUGAUGGAACUGCAUUGAAGGCAUUAUUGUCUACAAGCUGCUGAAAUUUUACCCAUCUAUGUUAUAAGUCAUUCUCUCCCAAUGUUGAGUGCACUGGAACAUAUUCAUCAACAAUAGUGUGUGAAAUAAAUACUAAUUAUUAUUAA